rnacentral:sRNA from 2 species
UCGGCAUUUGGCUCUUGGCGAUGGCGGACGCGCGAUGGAACUUGAAACCUUGAGCCAUGAUUCAUUCAAGGCUGAGGAAAGAGCCGCCUUCGGCAUUUAUGAAUCUGUCCGUGGAGGGGGUGAACUGUGUCUGUACAUACCCCCUGUGCGGCUGCGAUGAAAAUCCGGGGUACUGAAGGGACGGCGAUGGUAAUCAUAUCUGUAUCACCAUCAUUUAUGGAGUGAAUUAUCAUAUCAACAGGGUUGUUUGACACACCCACACACCCACACGUACACAACACAGGAGUUUGAAGUUCAGUUGGUGUUGGCGCUGGUUUCAAAUUUUUUCAGAGGAGAAGAGGGGGAAGAGGAAGACGAAGGAGAGCCUGCGCUUUUAAUUUUUGAUAUUUCGGCGAUCGUGACACAAGGAAGAAGAGGAGCCCAGUGAGUUUGCUGAAACAGACUAUUACUGCUAAUACGACCCUUUUAACAGGUUGGCACGGAGUGGGAGACGGGUUGGUUGAAAGAAACAGUAAUAACACGAUUCCAUGCUGUUCACCUCUUUGAUGGGUAGGUCAUCUAUGGACCUUUAUCGAUGGAAAAAAACUGCCGCCUGAAUGAUGCUUGCUUGAGUAAUGUUAUCAAUACUCCUAACUAGUAUACAAUAAUUUUCUGUUUGGUUGGAUGGGAUGAUGUGGCCUUUGUUGUGGUCUGUUUCAUCAUCAAGCAACAAUGCAUGAUUCAUGAUGCUUUUUCGACCCCGGCUCGAGAUCUGACAUUUUUGCGGGGAAGGGAGGUGGGGGGUGCGAAGAAAAGGGACUUUGCUUUUCUUGAAGGCGAAAGAUAGGCGCGCGAGCAAGGUUCUGGCCUGUUCACUGUCGUCCGAAUUUCUCCUUUGGGCAAUCUAGGGGAACAAGGAAAACCUGCUUCUCCACGAACGGCGGAGGGAUCGUGCAUUUGCUCCUGCGUACGCAGCUCUGUGAGAUUACUUCCUGUCAGUUACCCCCGUAGUUCAGUACUAACGAACGAACAAACGAACAAACGGGGGGUUCCUGGCUUGCUUUGUCUGUUUGUUUGCCCUUCACCCACUUCACUCCCUGCAUCCAUAGUAUCCAUGCGGGACGAAAUAUCUAUCAAGUGACAGAACAGUGAGAGACAAAGCUAGGAUCGAGCCCUGGUACGAAGCUGCAAUGUUGUUUUUGUUAUGCACGUCGCGUCCAACCGCUCUGCCUGCUGUCUGUUGUGUGCCGGCUGGAGCACUCGAGUGCGUUCCUGACUGACACUCGCGCUUGAUUUUGAUUGAUGAUAUAAUGACCCAGGGGAUCGCGAUUGUGAUCAGGGAACAGGGUCAAAUAAAUAGAAUGAUGAUACAGAGACAUUUACAGUACAUAUACUCUAGAAGG